UACGUAGGGUGCGAGCGUUAAUCGGAAUUACUGGGCGUAAAGCGUGCGUAGGUGGUUCGUUGUGUCUGUGGUGAAAGCCCCGAGCUUAACUUGGGAAGUGCUUUUGAUACUGCAGAGCUUGAGUGUGGGAGAGGAUCGUGGAAUUCCUGGUGUAGUGGUGAAAUACGUAGAUAUCAGGAGGAACACCGGUGGCGAAGGCGGCCCCCUGGCUCGUACCUGACGCUCAGCCACGAAAGCAUGGGGAGCGAACGGG
rnacentral:rRNA from 1 species